rnacentral:rRNA from 1 species
UGGGGAAUAUUGGACAAUGGGCGCAAGCCUGAUCCAGCCAUGUCGCGUGAGUGAUGAAGGCCCUAGGGUUGUAAAGCUCUUUCACCGGUGAAGAUAAUGACGGUAACCGGAGAAGAAGCCCCGGCUAACUUCGUGCCAGCAGCCGCGGUAAUACGAAGGGGGCUAGCGUUGUUCGGAUUUACUGGGCGUAAAGCGCACGUGGGCGGACUUUUAAGUCAGGGGUGAAAUCCCGGGGCUCAACCCCGGAACUGCCUUUGAUACUGGAAGUCUUGAGUAUGGUAGAGGUGAGUGGAAUUCCGAGUGUAGAGGUGAAAUUCGUAGAUAUUCGGAGGAACACCAGUGGCGAAGGCGGCUCACUGGACCAUUACUGACGCUGAGGUGCGAAAGCGUGGGGAGCAAACAGG